rnacentral:rRNA from 1 species
AACGAACGCUGGCGGCAUGCCUAACACAUGCAAGUCGAACGAGACCUUCGGGCCUAGUGGCGCACGGGUGCGUAACGCGUGGGAACCUGCCCUUAGGUUCGGAAUAACUCCCCGAAAGGGAUGCUAAUACCGGAUAAUGUCUUCGGACCAAAGAUUUAUCGCCUUUGGAUGGGCCCGCGUUGGAUUAGCCAGUUGGUAGGGUAAAAGCCUACCAACGCGACGAUCCAUAGCUGGUCUGAGAGGAUGAUCAGCCACACUGGGACUGAGACACGGCCCAGACUCCUACGGGAGGCAGCAGUAGGGAAUAUUGGACGAUGGGCGAAAGCCUGAUCCAGCAAUGCCGCGUGAGUGAUGAAGGCCUUAGGGUUGUAAAGCUCUUUUACCCGGGAUGAUAAUGACAGUACCGGGAGAAUAAGCUCCGGCUAACUCCGUG